AUUCUCCAGCAACGCGGUGCGGUACCGGGCUGAGUCCAAGCGCCAGGAGCCGCGGGGUCCUGGUUGCUGUUUUCCUGUGACGCUUGGCGGCGGCGGCCAGAGCGGCCCCAGCACCGUGCCCUGGGCUCACUGCGGCUCUCCUAUCACCCAGGGGUCGUCCCGGUCCGCCCGCACUCUUCUCUCCGCCCGACCCCCCUCUGGCUGCGCGUCCUCGGCUGGCUCGGGGAGGGCGCCGCUCCUCCCUGGGAGACCCCAGGGAGACCCGCCUCACGGCCUGCGCACCUCCUCUCGCUCUAAAGCGGCCGCUGGAGGAGCCACAGGUCUGGCGGGUCCAUGUCGAGGUGCCCUGGGCUCCCGCACGACCCCACGGCCUCCUGCGUCCCGCACCUCUUGUGUCCUGCAGCCGCCCGCGUCCUCUCUGGGACCCCUUCCUUCCGAGUCCGUCCACAUCCCCGGCGGUUCCUCUGAAAUCCGCACCCCCCAACCCCGGAACCUCGGCUCUUCCGCGCGCUCCUCGUCCCCGCAUCCUCAGCCCCUAGAUGUCCUCCGCGUUCUGUAUCCCCCUGCACCACACCGCUCCCUCUCUCCCUGCCCUUCGCACUAGGACCCUCAGGGACCAAAAUCGUCCAAGAUGCCUUCCCUGGUGUCGAGUUUAUGUUAAGGGGUUGGGUGAGGAGACCAAAAAGCAGUGGAUGUGGUAACCACAGGGGCGCCGUGUGUCCGAGUCGGGCGCCUGUCGGAGGAAGCGAGACGGGAGGAGAGGCUGCGGCUCGCGCCCUGGGCAGCGACAGUGUGGACGCCAUUGCAAUUUCCCAACGGCUGCCACCCGCAGGGUCAACACACAGGCCCCCUCCACCCCUCCCAGUCGCCCACCUCCCAUCCCUGCAGAAGCCACCUUAGAGCCGGUGUCUGGGCCGUAAGGAGCCCGGGUGGGGGUCAGGAGCAUCGGCCAGAACGUCUCCAGAUUCCGGCCCUGAACCCGGAUGAGGCCCUGCCCAGCGCUCGGUGCUGUCCAAGGAAAAUGAGACCUCGAGGUGAAAAGCGCAGAGGCUGUGCACGCUAGGGCCAAGCGGAGGACGCGUUAUUACUGUUUUCUUCUUGAUGAUAAAACCAGGUGUUGACAAAUGCCGGAGAGAUCGGCAUUCGCAGGACGUGGGUUGAAUGUAACUUGCAUUCUUCCAGUUCGGCAAUCUCACUUCUAGAACUCUGUCCUAGGAACAUACGAGGCUAUUUCAGGAUUGCUUACAACCUGGAGGCAACCGGGAUGUGUCUGGCCACUGGAGCUAGUGGAUUUCACGCAUCCCUGCAGUGGGCAUCAAGCAGCAAAAAGAAUGUUGUGCAGCAUUCAUAAGAAGGAAGACAUUUGUAACACAUUAUGAAAAAACAUAUGUGGGCCAGGCACGGUGGCUCAUGCCUGUAAUCCCAGUACUUUAGGAGGCCGAGGCGGGAGGAUGACUUGAGGUGAGGAGUUCAAGACCAGCCUGGCCAACAUGGCGAAACCCCGUCUCUACUUAAAAAUACAAAAAUUAGCCAGGCACGCUAGCGCGCGCCUGUAUUCCCACCUACUCGGGAGGCUGAGUCAGGAGAAUCACUUGAACCCGGGAGGCGGAGGUUGCAGUGAGCCGAGAUCUCCCCACUGCACUCCAGCCUGGACGGCAGAGCGAGACUCUGUCUCAACAACAAAUGUGUGGCAUCACCUUGAUUUUCUGAAAAUAAAAAAAUUUU
rnacentral:lncRNA from 1 species